AGGUGGAGACCCUAAGUAGGACAGUUAUUUUGGAAGGGCUACCCUCUGGCUGGCUUUCCUGAUCCGUGCGCUCAGAGCUGGAAGGUGGCCCACGUCCUACUUUUGCGGUUGGGUCAUAUCAAAUCUGUAUCGGCUAACGGGAAGGAAGUUACGAGCAAGUUCCACCGGAAAGAAAAUCUAGCGCGGGGACUGCACUCGAGGCCGAGGAGAGGGCAGCGCGUCCGUGGUGGGGUCGCCCAGCACUGCGAGCCGCGCUGAACCCCACCCCCGGCCUGCAGGGUGCGGCUCCCUGGCUGCCCCGUGGACCCGGCCAGCCCGGGACGAGGACGCAGGACCUCGGCAGGGACGCCGGAGCCAGCCCUUCGCCAUCCCCACACGCCCCGCGGCCCAGUGGCCGCGCGCACGUUACCUGCGGAGCCCGGCCCUGCCCGCCCGUCUGGGCUGCCGCCCUC
ensembl:lncRNA novel transcript